UGUUCUGUUACUGAGUUGGUUAAAGCGCCGGACUAGCGAUACGGAAUCGUGGGCUUGAGUCCCACCAAAACAA
rnacentral:tRNA from 1 species